ACACACAGUGAGGUGUCGCUCCAGGACCUUGCUUCAGACAAGUCCUUUCCAUGAAGGUCCAUGGACACCUAUUCUGAUGAUUCCACAGCCUUACCUGGAGCCAUAACACACACCACAAUAUCUGUCUGGACUUUUCUUCACCCACGUUUGCCAUCUGGUAAUUCAGUAGAUACCUUGGAAUAGACUCAC